rnacentral:rRNA from 1 species
GAUGAACGCUGGCGGCGUGCCUAAUACAUGCAAGUCGAGCGAACGGACGAGAAGCUUGCUUCUCUGAUGUUAGCGGCGGACGGGUGAGUAACAUGUGGAUAACCUACCUAUAAGACUGGGAUAACUUCGGGAAACCGUAGCUAAUACCGGAUAAUAUUUUGAACCGCAUGGUUCAAAAGUGAAAGACGGUCUUGCUGUCACUUAUAGAUGGAUCCGCGCUGCAUUAGCUAGUUGGUAAGGUAACGGCUUACCAAGGCAACGAUGCAUAGCCGACCUGAGAGGGUGAUCGGCCACACUGGAACUGAGACACGGUCCAGACUCCUACGGGAGGCAGCAGUAGGGAAUCUUCCGCAAUGGGCGAAAGCCUGACGGAGCAACGCCGCGUGAGUGAUGAAGGUCUUCGGAUCGUAAAACUCUGUUAUUAGGGAAGAACAUAUGUGUAAGUAACUGUGCACAUCUUGACGGUACCUAAUCAGAAAGCCACGGCUAACUACGUG